rnacentral:tRNA from 1 species
GGUAAUAUAGUUUUAAAACAAACAUUAGAAUGUGGCUCUAAAAAUAGGAGUUAAAA